rnacentral:misc_RNA from 1 species
CAGUUUAGGAUGCUUCAGUUCAUAAAUGAAUUAAACGCAUAACAUGGUGCAUUUCAAGUUUAUAUGCAAAAACAGCAAAAUAUAUAACAAAGUAUUGGCAACAAAACCAGUGGAAAUUAUAUUCAGCAAUCAGCAUUGAAAAUAAACACCACAAAGCCUAUGGAUGGCUCAUACCAACUACAGAACACACAAUAGACUACCAGUGUACGUGAUGUAAAGCAAUGCAGAAUUUUCUCCCUCAAAAUUAUAGCAUACUGCUCCAUAUUACCACUACAGGUUUUGCUGAUCAGAAACAACAUUGAUCUGACCUUAUCUGCCGGGGUUGUGCUAGA